rnacentral:rRNA from 1 species
UUGUGUUUGCCAAUCGGAAUGAGAACAAUUUAAAUCCCUUAUCGAGGACCCAUUGGAGGGCAAGUCUGGUGCCAGCAGCCGCGGUAAUACCAGCUCCAAUAGCGUAUAUUAAAGUUGUUGCAGUUAAAAAGCUCGUAGUUGGAUCUCUGACACUGAGCCGCUGGCCCGGUGACCUUGCGUUGCUGUGUUGUCGGCGUGUUCUUGUCAUCUUUUUGGAAAAACUAGCCUCCCCUUUACUGGGCGGGGUUAGCGAUUCCAAUCAAUUACUUUGAAAAAAUUAGAGUGUUCAAAGCAGGCUUAUCGCUGUGAAUACAUUAGCAUGGAAUAAUAACAUAGGACUUCGGUCUUAUUUUGUUGGUUUCUAGGACUGAAGUAAUGAUUGAUAGGGAUAGUUGGGGGUGCUCGUAUUCNGCGGCCAGAGGUGAAAUUCUAUGAUUCGCUGAANACGAACUUAUGCGAAAGCAUUCACCAAGGAUGUCUUCUUUAAUCAAGAACGAAAGUUGGGGGAUCGAAGACGAUCAGAUACCGUCGUAGUCUCAACCAUAAACUAUGCCGACUCGGGAUCAGUGGUCGUUGUUUUUAUGACUCCAUUGGCACCGUAGGAGAAAUCAAAGUCUUUGGGUUCCGGGGGGAGUAUGGUCGCAAGGCUGAAACUUAAAGGA